rnacentral:rRNA from 1 species
GAUGAACGCUGGCGGCGUGCCUAAUACAUGCAAGUCGAGCGAACAGACGAGGAGCUUGCUCCUCUGACGUUAGCGGCGGACGGGUGAGUAACACGUGGAUAACCUACCUAUAAGACUGGGAUAACUUCGGGAAACCGGAGCUAAUACCGGAUAAUAUAUUGAACCGCAUGGUUCAAUAGUGAAAGACGGUUUUGCUGUCACUUAUAGAUGGAUCCGCGCCGCAUUAGCUAGUUGGUAAGGUAACGGCUUACCAAGGCAACGAUGCGUAGCCGACCUGAGAGGGUGCGCGGGCACACACGAGCAUAGACACGCGACCCACACCCGAGGGGGGGGAGGAAGUGGGAACUUCCGCAAAGGGGGAAAACCCCGGAGGGAAAACCGCCGCGUGAGAGAAAAGGGUCUCGGGUGGGAAAAACUUUUUUAUGGGAAAAAAAAAAAUGUGAAAGAAUCUAUGCCUUUUUGGAGGUUCCAAAAAAAAAAACCCCCGGAAAACCACG